UAGGUUAGUCUCGCUAUUUAUAUUUAGCCACGUUUUACCAAGAAGCAUACGGGGAACAUUUAAUGCACAAUGUACAAAUUAUUUAUUUGUUACUGCUGUGUAUAAGUGAUUUAUUUGAAGCUAGUCAAAGUUGAUGGUUUUUCCUGUGUAUUGUGCGAUUUCGGAUCUUUUAUUAAUACUUUAUUUAUUUUUGAAACAUAAACGGUAUCCCUGUUAUAUGCAAAAAAUAUAUUUUAAUUCGAGCAUCACGUUUCCCAGCGCUCAUAUUCUGAAAAUAUAUUUUAUGAAAAUAUCCUCAUACUCUCUUUCGUCAGCUGAAAAUUAUAUUUUAAAUCAUGUACCAGGAUUCAUUCAUUCUGAUUCUCACCAGCCGCAGAGCACGUGUUGACGGAGGGGUCGCAACAGUCUACCCCUCCACCCUCUAAAGCGAUGAUAUCAGGCGUCAGGUGUAUAUGGUUGCUCGAGAACUUGUGACAGGUGUAUCGGUGGGAAAAGAACUUUAGGGUAUAUAAGAAACGAGACAGUCUAACAUUUUCCAUGAAGAAAUUCGGGGAUCAACAUGAUGGCUCAUGGUAAGAAAACUUGUUGAAAUUAUAAGGUAUUUCUUUUCUCUUAAAAACAUUGUUUAAAUAAACACUUUAUGUAUUCUCAGCUUCAAAAAGUUCAAGCUGAAAUUCACCAGGUGCCUGAGUAUCAGGUUACAGGGGAAGAACUAGAGGGUAUUAGCCUCACUCAGACGGAUCCAGGUACCGUAUCUCUCUCUGUGUUUUUUUUUGUUUUUGGCCUCUGUUAUUUAGUUCUGGUGAAAAACUUUUUUUUUUUUUUACACGCGGUAUUAAUCCUGAUGAGUUUGCGAGAGGAUCGGGAAGCGACAGUCUCACUGAUGAUUUGGAUUUGAUUCUAACUGGGGCUUUGCCAGCAAUCUCGCGAGAUCGCCGUGUUCCGUCUUCUCCUCCGAGAAGCGGAGAUGGCGUAAUAGAAAUAUCAACAACUCCGAGGCCAGUGAGGCCGCAAGUCGCAAGCGUGACACCCAUCUUAAAAGUCUGUGACGCACCCCGGCGAGCGAAGAGACGGAGAUUAGUCAGUAAGAGUCCGUCGCAGAUUCAGUCGAAUCACCCACGUGUUCACCCGCGUGUUCAACCAGGGAAGUGGGUCAUGGAUCUCAAUGCGUGAUUAACGAGACUGAAGCGGAGACCGAAUUGGAUAACGGCCCAGAACCGAAUCAGGAAGCAGAGCGAUGUCGGAGAGAGCGCCAGAGUCCCACUGGGCCUCUGUUUAAGCGCAGGUUUCCUCAAUGACGGUUUAAUGCCAACGUCUCUAACCAGGAAGCGAGACCUGAACGGGUCCGUCGGCUGAGAAUAGCGCCACCUCUCCGCCAGCACCGUGACAGCAGAAUCUUGCGGCUCGCCGAAAUAACGAGCGAUUUGAUUCACGACCUGAUUCGCGACAACAGUGCCAUGUGUGAAAAAGGUUUUGUGUGAAAAGUUUGAAUGCAUGUCCGUGUCGAGGUAUAUUUUGAUGUUGUGAAUUCAUGUUUUUGAAUGUAUGUUAGCGUCAGGGCAAUAUUUCUGAUGUUGUGAAUACUGGGUUAUAGAUAGGGGAAAAUUAUAUA